AACGGUCACUCCACAAUAUGAGCGUUCGUACAUAAAAGAAGGAGGAUUAUUACCGUAAGCUUGCGGUGCGGCAGUGUGGAGACCUGCCGUAAUGCGGUGCAUCCGAGGCAGCGGCCGAGGAUGCCGCGAGACGGAUUCGGAGGAGUCCCUUCCGUCAGAGCAUAUGUUAAUGUC
rnacentral:ncRNA from 1 species